UACGGAGGGUGCGAGCGUUGUCCGGAUUUAUUGGGUUUAAAGGGUGCGUAGGCGGCCUGUUAAGUCAGCGGUGAAAGUCAGUGGCUCAACCAUUGAACUGCCGUUGAUACUGGUUGGCUUGAGUGCCGGUGGGGUACAUGGAAUUUGUGGUGUAGCGGUGAAAUGCAUAGAUACCACAAGGAACACCGAUAGCGUAGGCAUUGUACUUACCGGUAACUGACGCUGAGGCACGAAAGCGCGGGUAGCGAACAGG
rnacentral:rRNA from 1 species